UCUCUAACAUGUGCGCGAGUCAUUGGGCACGUACGAAACCCAGAGGCGUAAUGAAAGUAAAGGCCCACCUCUCGGUAGGCCCAGGUAGGAUCCGCGUGUCGGCAACGGCGCGCGCCGACUACCGGCCCGUCUCGACCGUAGCAUCGGUGAGGCGGCGCUAGAGCGUACACGUUGGG
rnacentral:rRNA from 1 species